CGGAAUGGUUGGGGAGGAGCAUCUGGCAACCCUGCACUGCUGUACCCUGCCUCAGUGCCUCACCCACCUACCUACCAGAGUAUACGGAAGCAGUCGGUGGUCGACAGGCAUGGCGUGAGUGUUGAUGUCGGGCUGUGUAACGAGUGACGGUGGGAGGAUAAUUUGCUGUUUUCUGAGGUAAAAUGACGAAACUGCGUGUUACUUUUGAUAGCGUCAAGCUUCUUUGGCAAGAGGAAUCUCCCAAGUUCUUCAUAAUCAGAAGAUAGAGAGGUUAUGGCUGUGUAAAAAUCUGCAAGAGGAGUGACACGUGAAGGAAGUUGAUUAAACAGCAAUGGGUGAGGGUAGCGCAGGACAGAUGUUGAUGUACUAAAGGACCACGUUAUCAACAAUAAGUACAGUAGUGUCUGUCUGUCUU